GAUCAUUAAAGAGUUUAAUAAAACUCCUAAACCCCUGUGAACUUACUGGUGUUUGGCUCGCCAGAUAUAGUCUGGUCCGUAAGCAAAUCGACUGCCUGCCUGUGUAACAGGCAGGUAAGCUUUUGUCGCGGGGUCCCGGAUCAACCCGGGCUAGAUAGCCACUUAACUAUAUACUUUUUAUAAAAUCUGUGAACUUACUAGGUUGGAUUCUCGCCAGAGAUAGUCUGGUUUCUGCUUCGCGGAUCGCCUACCCGUGACACCUGUCACAGGCAGGUAUGCUUCUGCCGCGGGUCCGUAAGUAAAUCAUCUGUUUCGCAAGGGACGGCGAUUUACCUGUGGAAGAGGUCCGCUAACUAUAUUCUUAGUAUAGUUUGUUCACUAGAUCAAACAUUCUGAAUAAAAACUUAAACUAGUUAAAACUUUCAACAACGGAUCUCUUGGUUCUGGCAUCGAUGAAGAACGCAGCGAAAUGCGAUAAGUAAUGUGAAUUGCAGAAUUCAGUGAAUCAUCGAAUCUUUGAACGCACAUUGCGCCCAUUAGUAUUCUAGUGGGCAUGCCUGUUCGAGCGUCAUUUCAACCCUUAAGCCCCUGUUGCUUAGCGUUGGGAGCCUACAGCCUGCUGUAGCUCCUUAAAGGUAGUGGCGGAGUCGGUUCACACUCUAGACGUAGUAAAAUCUUUAUCUCGCCUAUGGAUGAGCCGGCGCCUUGCCGUAAAACCCCUAAUCUUUCACAAGGUUGACCUCGGAUCAGGUAGGAAUACCCGCUGAACUUAAGCAUAUCAAUAAGCGGAGGAAAAGAAACCAACAGGGAUUGCCCUAGUAACGGCGAGUGAAGCGGCAACAGCUCAAAUUUGAAAUCUGGCCUUCGGGUCCGAGUUGUAAUUUGCAGAGGAUGCUUUGGGCGCGGUGCCUUCCGAGUUCCCUGGAACGGGACGCCUUAGAGGGUGAGAGCCCCGUACGGUUGGACACCAAGCCUCUGUAAAGCUCCUUCGACGAGUCGAGUAGUUUGGGAAUGCUGCUCUAAAUGGGAGGUAAAUUUCUUCUAAAGCUAAAUAUUGGCCAGAGACCGAUAGCGCACAAGUAGAGUGAUCGAAAGAUGAAAAGCACUUUGAAAAGAGGGUUAAAUAGCACGUGAAAUUGUUGAAAGGGAAGCGUUUGCGACCAGACCUUUUCCCAGCGGAUCAUCCGGUGUUCUCACCGGUGCACUUCGCUGGGUUGAGGCCAGCAUCGGUUUCCGCAGGGGGAUAAAAGCCUGGGGAACGUAGCUCCCUCGGGAGUGUUAUAGCCCCUCGCAUAAUACCCUUGCGGGGACCGAGGACCGC
rnacentral:misc_RNA from 1 species